rnacentral:rRNA from 1 species
UAGGGAAUCUUCGGCAAUGGACGAAAGUCUGACCGAGCAACGCCGCGUGAGUGAAGAAGGUUUUCGGAUCGUAAAACUCUGUUGUUAGAGAAGAACAAGGACGUUAGUAACUGAACGUCCCCUGCCGGUAUCUAACCAGAAAGCCACGGCUAACUACGUGCCAGCAGCCGCGGUAAUACGUAGGUGGCAAGCGUUGUCCGGAUUUAUUGGACGUAAAGCGAGCGCAGGCGGUUUCUUAAGUCUGAUGUGAAAGCCCCCGGCUCAACCGGGGAGGGUCAUUGGAAACUGGGAGAGUUGAGUGCAGAAGAGGAGAGUGGAAUUCCAUGUGUAGCGGUGAAAUGCGUAGAUAUAUGGAGGAACACCAGUGGCGAAGGCGGCUCUCUGGUCUGUACCUGACGCUGAGGCUAGAAAGCGUGGGGAGCAAACAGG